UAGGGAAUCUUCCACAAUGGGCGCAAGCCUGAUGGAGCAACGCCGCGUGAGUGAAGAAGGUCUUCGGAUCGUAAAGCUCUGUUGUUAAAGAAGAACACGUAUGAGAGUAACUGUUCAUACGUUGACGGUAUUUAACCAGAAAGUCACGGCUAACUACGUGCCAG
rnacentral:rRNA from 1 species